rfam:Oryza meridionalis cultivar OR44 (W2112) chromosome 4, whole genome shotgun sequence.
AAAAAAAUAAACCCUAAGUUUUCGUGCCAACGUUUGACUGACUGUCUUAUAUGAAUUUUUUUUAUAAUUAGUAUUUUUAUUGUUGUUAGAUGAUAAAACAUGAUUAAUACUUUAUGUGUGACUUAUCUUUUUAACUUUUUCAUAAUUUUUUUAAGUAAGAUGGACGGUCAAACUUUUAAACACAGAAAUCAGGUUUGUCUUUUU